rnacentral:lncRNA from 1 species
UUGCUAUAUUAGACUUUUUUGGUUAUAUAAUUAUGAUAUGUGGUUUUCAAAUUAUGGUAACUAAUAGCAAUUGUUAUAACAAUUAUUAUGUUGUUUGUAGAUAACUAUUAUUUAUUGAGGAAACAGUACUUUUGACCCCUCGACUUUGCCCGUAUUUCAGACAUGCCACCUCCAUUUUAAAAACUUUUAAUUAAAACACAAAUGCUAUAUUUCAUUGCAAUGUGAUCCUUCCAUCCGUCUUU